AACGAACGCUGGCGGCAGGCCUAACACAUGCAAGUCGAGCGAGGACUUCGGUUCUAGCGGCGGACGGGUGAGUAACGCGUGGGAAUGUGCCCUUCUCUACGGAAUAGCCCUGGGAAACUGGGAGUAAUACCGUAUACGCCCUAUUGGGGAAAGAUUUAUCGGAGAAGGAUCAGCCCGCGUUGGAUUAGGUAGUUGGUGGGGUAAUGGCCUACCAAGCCGACGAUCCAUAGCUGGUUUGAGGGGAUGAUCAGCCACACUGGGACUGAGACACGGCCCAGACUCCUACGGGAGGCAGCAGUGGGGAAUCUUAGACAAUGGGGGCAACCCUGAUCUAGCCAUGCUGCGUGAGUGAUGAAGGCCUUAGGGUUGUAAAGCUCUUUCAGCUGGGAAGAUAAUGACGGUACCAGCAGAAGAAGCCCCGGCUAACUCCGUG
rnacentral:rRNA from 1 species